GCACAACGCGAAGAACCUUACCAGAACUUGACAUCGUCUGCAUUACCCGUAACUGGGGAAAUCCUUCGGGACAGAUAGACAGGUGGUGCAUGGUUGUCGUCAGCUCGUGUCGUGAGAUGUUGGGUUAAGUCCCGCAACGAGCGCAACCCCUAUUGUUAGUUGCCAUCAUUAAGUUGGGCACUCCAAUGAGACUGCCGGAGACAAUUCGGAGGAAGGUGGGGAUGACGUCAAAUCAUCAUGCCCCUUAUGUUCUGGGCUACACACGUGCUACAAUGGGUAUAACAACGGGAUGCAAGCUAGUGAUAGCAAGCCAAACCCCUAAAACGUACCCUCAGUUCAGAUUGUAGGCUGAAACCCGCCUACAUGAAGUCGGAGUUGCUAGUAAUCGCGAAUCAGCAUGUCGCGGUGAAUACGUUCCCGGGUC
rnacentral:rRNA from 1 species